rnacentral:rRNA from 1 species
CCAGACUCCUACGGGAGGCAGCAGUGGGGAAUAUUGCGCAAUGGGGGAAACCCUGAUGCAGCGACGCCGCGUGAGUGAAGAAGUAUUUCGGUAUGUAAAGCUCUAUCAGCAGGGAAGAAAAUGACGGUACCUGAUUAAGAAGCCCCGGCUAACUACGUGCCAGCAGCCGCGGUAAUACGUAGGGGGCAAGCGUUAUCCGGAUUUACUGGGUGUAAAGGGAGCGUGGACGGCUGUGCAAGUCUGGAGUGAAAGGCGGGGGCCCAACCCCCGGACUGCUCUGGAAACUGUAUGGCUGGAGUGCAGGAGAGGUAAGCGGAAUUCCUAGUGUAGCGGUGAAAUGCGUAGAUAUUAGGAGGAACACCAGUGGCGAAGGCGGCUUACUGGACUGUAACUGACGUUGAGGCUCGAAAGCGUGGGGAGCAGACAGGAUUAGAUACCCUGGUACC